rnacentral:siRNA from 1 species
AUCGAGAAGUCGAUCCGAUGUUGC